CAUUCCUGCCACCGUGAAUAAGAGGCCUGUGAUUUGCAGCACACGAGGUCUAGAGUUGAACACAGGAACGAUUGUGGAGGGCCCACUCUGCACUGAGCGCCAUGAUGAUGUGGGGCCUUCCUGCCCCGGCCCUGCCUGCUCACAGCCUAAUGGAUGGAGGAAGUCAAGUAAACAGGAGAGUGACUGAAAUGAAUGUCUGAGGAGAGGGGCAAGAACAGGCAGCCGUGAACUGCCAGGCAUAUGUGACCGCAGCUCUUCCACGUGGCUGGCUGGGAGAGGCCACCUUCAUUUGGUAUCUACUCAGCAGAGCAAAUGAUGGGGAUACCAAAGCUCAGGGAGGAUAAGUGAUUUGCCCAGGAUCACACAGAGAGUGAGUAAUGAAGCCAAGCUUUGGAAUCAGGCUGCUGCCUCCGGAACCUGUGUUAUGAAGAUAUCCGCAGCCUGCAAGGUAAGACAGACAGGGCCUCUCUCAUCUCAGAACUGGAAACUGCCAUUAGAUGAGUAAUUACAAGUGUGAUGCUUUACCGGGCAGGCUUACUCGAGUCCAGAGAAAGUGACAUUGAAGCUGACAACUGAGGGAAUGAACCAGACACAGCGAUGGUGGUUGGGCCUCCCACCUGCAGAUUUGGGAGAAAAUCAAGGUGGGGCGAUGUACAGUCAUAGAUUCCCCCCAGCAGCUCCUAGCAUCUUGCAAUAAAGAUUUAAUUUCUUGCCUCUCAGGACUGCUCCUAGCAUAAAUCUCACUUAAUAACCAUUGGUAAAUCCAAGUCUUCACAGGGCCAUGUAAGGUCAUAGAACCACAGUCUCCUCUUAGUUAUCUGUAAGGGACACCCAUUCAUUGCAAUGGAAGGGACAAGUGUUGACUUGAGGGAGAAUUUGGUCGAAGGGCUAUUGCACAGCAAUUAAUGACAAUUCCAGCACCUUCAAAUGCACAUUUAGUACCCAUGCUUAUAGUUUAGGAAGAUUACGUGCCCCUCGUAUUAGAGGCUGUGGAGCCAGAGCCACCUCUCCCUGCAGCUGUGUGAUCUUGGCCUGCAGUCCCAGUCUUUUUCUGCCUCCCGCCAGGGUAUCAUUACUUUUUGACACCCAGUCUUGCAGGUUUAAAAAGAAGGCCUGCAACUCAGGGGAUUUCCUUAAAGAUGGCGUUCCUUUCAGAAUUAAAUUGCAGGAGAACACCACUGCAGAAUAUUGCUCGCAGAAGAUCUCUGCAGAAUGGAAACCUUGUCGGCCACAGAGUUUCAGCUGGGGUCUGUCUGCUGCUGACCCUGGGAUCCGCUCUGGCCUGCAAGUCCAUUUUGUGUUUGCUUAGCAUCUUGUCAGGAAGGAAACGUUGUCUCCUGCUUAGGCUGUGGUUUGGCAUCUGGGACUCAUCUGCAGCCCUCUGCAUGUUACAAAGCAUUUCAGACAGGGUAAGUAUGUGGACGUUUCAUAUCUGGAAACUGUGGGCAGGUAUGUUGCAAAACAAACGCCUUUUAAGCAACUUUCUAAUAACGCUUUUAUCUACCUCAUACUUCAAUUGCUUUCUUUCUCCUCUGCCUUUCUUCUCUGUCUCUCCCCCCAGAUUGUUGUAAUAAGAUCUAUUAAAUAGAGAGUUUGGAAACUGAAGUUGUGGGUGCAGUUCUGUUCUUUGUACCAACAAAGAUAAGUGAGUGAGUUUCUCUUGUGCCUCAUUUCUUCUUUUGCCCCAUGGAUAUUUGUUGAAAACCUACCAUGAGCACUGUAUUUCUUGGGAUUGAGAGGUGAAGAAGACAAACACAAUCCCUGGUCUUGUGGAGCUGACAUUUCAGGAGGAAAAUGAGAAGCCACCAGAGAGACAGGAACCCAACCUUGUGAUGUGAAGUCAGUCACAUUUGCUGUGAGCCUGUGGUUUCUUUGUCUAUAAAAUCAGUACAGAAUUAUACAUGGUAUCCUUCCCAGACAUUAAGGCACAAUUUAAAAUGCAGCAUAUACAAAGAAUCUGGAACAGCCAAAAUGACUUUUAAGAAGAAAUAGUUAGAAGACUCACACUAUCUGAUUUUAGGACAUGCUAUAAAAGCUAUAAUAAUCAAGACAAUGUGGCAGAGGUUUAGGAUAGACAUAUGGAUUAAUGCAACAGAGUUGAGAAUCUAGAAAUAGACUCACAUUUACAUGGUAGGUUGAAUUUUGAUAAACUGCCAACAGAGGGGAAAGGAUGGUCUUUAAUAAAUCAUACUGGAGUAAUUUUGUAUAUACCUUAAG